GGCUGCUCGCUGUAGGGUCAGGUCUAUAGGAGAUAAGGAGUGGGGUCCCUACAGGGGUCAGGUCUGUAUGGGGGGGUGGGGGGGGGGGGGUGGUCCCUAUAGAAUCAGGUCUAUAUGGGGUCAAAUUGGUUUGGUUUCUAUUGGGUCCAGCUAUAGGGGGUCUGGGUCCAUCUAUAGGGUCAGGUCCAUAUGGGGGGGGGUGCAGUCCCUAUAGAAUCAGGUCUAUAUGGGGUCAAAUUGGUUUCAUCCCUAUCGGGUCCAGCUAUAGGGGGUCUGGGGGGGUAUGUGGUCCAUAUAGAAUCAGGUCUAUAUGGGGUCAAAUUG